UGAGGAAAGUCUCGGAGUUCCAGAGAUAACUAGCGAAGAGGCGAUUUGAUAGCGAUUUGGAGGAUGAAUACAAGGUCGAUGAUGAGGAGGAGAAAAUUGACUGUUUGUGCAGACAGAGAACCGUAUCUACGUCGUUUGGGUAGAACUGGUCGGAAAGGCCAGGAAGGAAUAGGGAGUCUGAUGUCGGCACCAUGGGAAGACUUCUUUUUUAGUAGCAUCAAGGACUCGCCAAUCACCAAGGCUCCAUUGCCAACAGUAGAAAACAAGCAUCUGAAUCACUUCCUUUACUACCAUAUUUGUUGCUUUAUUGGCUUAAAAUACCUAAACCAUUACAUACUCACUCUGUUGCAAUUAUGCUGAAGUAUAUAUGCCCGAUGUUUUAUAUAGCUGUAUUUUGUUGUUUGAUAAUGUGUUUUUGCCAUCUUAUGCACCUUUUUGUUUCUUUUCCCUGUAAUUUUUCACUUCUGUUGUUUGACUUGAAGCUGAUUCAGCAAUUUUUAGCUCUUCACUGUCGAAUGAUUUAGUCAAUUGUAUUUAGUCAUUUUGAAGAGUGAAUUUGAGGGUACCAUCAACAGCCAGCUUUUGUCUUGGGCUUUUGCAAAGAGCUUGGAUAGAUGCUGCCAGCUGUUGUUGUUGGCUAGAAAUAGGGGGUCCACUUUGGGUACAGAGUGCUGAUGACAGUCCUUGCAUUGGGAUAGAAGACUGGUGAAACUAGAAUCUUGAGCCUAGAUAUCACCAAUGUAAUGCAUUAUUACCUGUUACUUGGAUACACUAUUUCAUCUUUUGCCUUGUUAGUUGAAUGUUCCUUUCAGUAGUUCCUUCAUUCUGAUGUGACUUGUAUCAAACUUGUUGCUUUGUUGAUACAGGUGGAGUGGGCAGUGGUGCGUCCAGAGAUGAAGAACUAAGAAUCGGCAUAUCAACCAUGGCUUGAAUUCUGUAGUUCCAGUAAAAAUAUUGGUUCAGAAUCAGCUUGUAACUCUUGCUAAUGUGUUUAGCCCAAAGUAUAGUCAACCCCUGGUUUACAAGCAAGAUCUGUUUAUUCUCGAGUUUUGAUAAAUUGAUUUCUAGAUAUCUUCUAUCUUUAGAAGAUACAUGGCUACUACCCUAUAAACAAAUGAAGUUCAUAUUUUUCUACAACACUUAAUGAUUAUUUAAUUUAUUUGUUGCUUCCUUUACUACCAUAUUUGUUGCUUUAUUGGCUUUAUAUGUUUAAACCAUUACAUACUCACUCUAUUGCAAUUAUGCUGAAGUAUAUAUGCCCGAUGUUUUAUAUAGCUGUAUUUUGUUGUUUGAUAAUGUGUUUUUGCCAUCUUAUGCACCUUUUUGUUUCUUUUCCCUGUAAUUUUUCACUUCUGUUGUUUGACUUGAAGCUGAUUCAGCAAUUUUUAGCUCUUCACUGUCGAAUGAUUUAGUCAAUUGUAUUUAGUCAUUUUGAAGAGUCAAUUUGAGGGUACCAUCAACAGCCUGCUUUUGUCUUGGGCUUUUGCAAAGAGCUUGGAUAGAUGCUGCCAGCUGUUGUUGAUGGCUAGAAGUAGAGGGUCCACUUUGGGUACAGAGUGCUGACGACAGUCCUUGCAUCGGCAUAGAAGACUGGUGAACUAGAAUCUUGGGCCUAGAUAUCACCAUUGUGGAGUGGGCAGUGGUGCGUCCAGAGAUGAAGAACUAAGAAUCAGCAUAUCAACCAUGGCUUGAAUUCUGUAGUUCCAGUAAAAAUAUUGGUUCAGAAUCAGCUUGUAACUCUUGCUAAUGUGUUUAGCCCAGGCAUAAUACUCAGCCCCUGGUUUACAAGCAAGGAAAAUACAUUUGGAAUGCAAAAUCUUAUAGCUUGUUGGAUCUUGCAUUGGCUCUUCUUCUGGACCGAGAAAGAUCGUGGCGAGGGCUUGAUGAGUACAUAGCGGAUGGCACUAGAUACUGCAUCACGGUAUCUAAAAUUACUCGACCGCAAUUAGCU